rnacentral:rRNA from 1 species
GAGCUUGCUCCUGAUGGCGAGCGGCGGACUGGUGAGUAACACGUAGGUUAUCUGCCUCGUAGACUGGGAUAGCCACUGGAAACAGUGAUUAAUACCGGAUAUUGUCAUUCGUGAUGAAAGGCGCGUUUGCGUCACUACAAGAUGAGCCUGCGUCCUAUUAGUUUGUUGGUGGGGUAAAGGCCUACCAAGGCGUCGAUAGGUAGCCGGCCUGAGAGGGUGAACGGCCACAUUGGGACUGAGAUACGGCCCAGACUCCUACGGGAGGCAGCAGCUAAGAAUAUUCCGCAAUGGACGAAAGUCUGACGGAGCAAUCCCGCGUGAAUGAUGAAGGCCUUCGGGUUGUAAAGUUCUUUCGGCAGGGAAGAAUAAGGUAUAUAGGAAAUGAUAUAUCGAUGACGGUACCUGCAGAAGAAGCACCGACUAAUUACGUGCCAGCAGUCGCGGUAAUACGUAAGGUGCAAACGUUGCUCGGAAUCACUGGGCGUACAGGGUACGCAGGCGGCCAUUUAAGUUAGUUGUGAAAUCUUGAGGCUUAACCUCAAGCCUGCAAUUAAAACUAUAUGGCUAGAGUUGUAAUAGAGGCAGCAGGAAUUCCUAGUGUAGGAGUGAAAUCUGUAGAUAUUAGGAGGAACACCAAUGGCGAAGGCAAGCUUGCUGGGUAACGACUGACGCUAAUGUACGAAAGCCAGGGUAGCGAAUGGGAUUAGAGACCCCAGUAGUCCUGGCCGUAAACGAUGUAUACUAGUUUUAUGGUCUUUUAUUAGACUAUAUAACAAAGCCAACGCGUUAAGUAUACCGCCUGGGGAGUAUGCACGCAAGUGUGAAACUCAAAGGAAUUGACGGGGGCUCGCACAAGCGGUGGAGCAUGUGGUUCAAUUCGAUGAUAAGCGAAAAACCUUACCUGGGCUUGAACGUGUAGAGACAGCUGGUGAAAGUCGGUUUCCCUUCGGGGCUCUAUGCGAGGUGCUGCAUGGCUGUCGUCAGCUCGUGUUGUGAAAUGUUGGGUUUAGUCCCGCAACGAGCGCAACCCUUAUCCAAUGUUGCUAAGUAUCUUUCGAGAUACAGGACUCUUUGGAGACUGCCGAGGUUAACUCGGAGGAAGGCGGGGAUGACGUCAAGUCCUCAUGGCCCUUAUGUCCAGGGCUACACACGUGCUACAAUGGGGUGUACAAAGGGAUGCAAGACCGCGAGGUUUAGCAAAUCCCAAAAAACAAUUCUCAGUUCGGAUCGCAGUCUGCAACUCGACUGCGUGAAGUUGGAAUCGCUAGUAAUCACAGAUCAGCAUGCUGUGGUGAAUACGUUCUCGAGCCUUGUACACACCGCCCGUCACACCACCCGAGUUGAAUUUACCUGAAGUCGCUGUACCAACC